GAAGCUAAUACCGGAUAGGAUCUUCUCCUUCAUGGGAGAUGAUUGAAAGAUGGUUUCGGCUAUCACUUACAGAUGGGCCCGCGGUGCAUUAGCUAGUUGGUGAGGUAACGGCUCACCAAGGCAACGAUGCAUAGCCGACCUGAGAGGGUGAUCGGCCACACUGGGACUGAGACACGGCCCAGACUCCUACGGGAGGCAGCAGUAGGGAAUCUUCCGCAAUGGACGAAAGUCUGACGGAGCAACGCCGCGUGAGUGAUGAAGGCUUUCGGGUCGUAAAACUCUGUUGUUAGGGAAGAACAAGUACAAGAGUAACUGCUUGUACCUUGACGGUACCUAACCAGAAAGCCACGGCUAACUACGUGCCAGCAGCCGCGGUAAUACGUAGGUGGCAAGCGUUAUCCGGAAUUAUUGGGCGUAAAGCGCGCGCAGGCGGUUUCUUAAGUCUGAUGUGAAAGCCCACGGCUCAACCGUGGAGGGUCAUUGGAAACUGGGGAACUUGAGUG
rnacentral:rRNA from 2 species